UGUUCUUCUUGAUACUAUCCUUCAAAAUGAAGAACAGAUAAUGAAAAUUCUGAGGAAUUGUUUUUGUUUUUGUUUUUGUGAGUUUGACAAUCUUCAAAUUUGGCUAGUUUUUUGUGUUUUUGUGUGUUAUUGUUGGUAGGAGGUGGGUUGCAUGUAUGUUUAAGAAAGAAAGAGUGAGAUAUGGUCAAGGCUGGCAAAAUGGGCAGUGAAAAUCUCUAAUGGAUCACUUAUAGCUAAAAUUGGAGGGUACAGAGAUUGCUUACUUGAUAUGUUCAAGACUUCUCUCUAAUUAACAGAGAAGAUAUGAUUAUGAUUUUUCUUAUUUUUGUCUCUUUUUGUUUUUGUCUAUGUAUAUAUGUAUAUAUAUAUUCUUACCAUUUGGCAAAACUUACUAUUCUUUGAUAUAUGCCAACUGUCUUUCUUUGAACAGAUUUUAA